GGCGCCAGAGAGGGUUACUUCGACUCUUAAUCGGCAGGUCGCCGGUUCGAAUCCGGCUUCCGUCA
rnacentral:tRNA from 1 species